rnacentral:sRNA from 1 species
GCUGAGUGUGGUGGCAUGUGCCUGAAAUUCCAGCUACUCAGGAGGCUGAGGCGAGAGGAUCUUUUUAGCCUAGGAAUUCAAGGCCAGCCUGGGCAAGGUAGUGAGAGACCCUGUCUCUU